GAUGGGCAUGGUGGUGGGCGCCUGUAGUCCCAGCUACUUGGGAGGCUGAGGCAGGAGAAUGGCGUGAACCUGGGAGGCGGAGCUUGCAGUGAGCCAAGAUUGUGCCACUGCACUCNAGUGCAGUGGCACAAUCUUGGCUCACUGCAAGCUCCGCCUCCCAGGUUCACGCCAUUCUCCUGCCUCAG
rfam:Chlorocebus sabaeus isolate 1994-021 chromosome 6, whole genome shotgun sequence.